rnacentral:lncRNA from 1 species
AGUAAAUUAUAUCCAUAUGAAAUUAAAUAGAUGAAUGUACUCUCUUCUCGCUGGAACUGGGCUUCAUAACUUUGGCACACGCAGCUUUAAAAUAAGGAAAUCGAUGAGCAAGAGAGAAUGUAUCUGACAUCAGUCACUGCAUUUAAUACAUUAAUUUCUUCACUAGAUUAAUCAGCUAUUGAUCAUCCUUCAGCUUUCCGAGAAGCUGAGCACGUGGGGGCUGCACGAGGAGCUCUGCCCACCAGAAAGCUCUGGGGUGGGGACCGAGCACUGCCAGCCCCCCCAGCAGCGCCCUAUGGGCUGAGUGCAUUGAAUGGGAGGUGAUCCCAACCACCACCAGCCCCAACAGCAGUGCCCUAUGGGCUGAGUGGCUGCACCAGAGGGCGAUCCCAGUGGCCCCAUCCCCCAGGGCUGGCAGGGCUGAGCCUGCUCUGUUUGCCCAACUGUUUUCUUGGCUUCUCAGCUGAACCUGUGGCAGAGCUCUCUGCAGUGAGCACUGUGAGAUGUGUGAAACCCUUCUGAGAUGUCCACCACCGUUAAUCAUUAAACUUCCAACGAACCCAAAGAGCUGAACUGCAGCAAACCCAAUGCACCCACAGGCAGUGGACCAAACCGGAGUGAACCCCAUGACUUCUGGCAGCCAACACGGAGCAGAGGGGCUGUGCUCUCCUUCCAGACCUGCUCAGUCCUUCUGCAAUGGCACCGUCUCCACGUUUUUGGGGGUGGUACUGAGAGCAGAAUCACACUCGGCCCUUUCACGGUGUGAGUGCAGACCUGACCUCUGCCUCCUCCACUCCAAAGUGAAGUAUCCAUAAACCAUUUGGAUGGAAAAUUGAAGUGCUUUGCACAGAAGGGGAGGGCAAGAAAUCACCAUUUGGAGACAAGCAACAGUUCGUAACCUCAGCCUGGUGAGGGCUCUGAUUUACACCCGGACUGCUUAUCUCCGUGCCAUUGCUCACCCGCUGCUUCCCCUUCCCAGCACCCUGCCAGCAGCACAGCUGUCGUCUGUCUCCAACAGAAGGAAAAAGCAAAGAGGUGGGGAAGGGAAAAAGCAACUGCAGAACCACAGUGUGAGACAGCAAAACAGAGGCGGCCGAAGCGCGUGCCCUACUUUAGGAGAUGCUGAUGCGUUCGUAACCGGAGCCGGCUGCAGGGAGCAGGGAUCCCCCCCUGCCCUGGCAUCCAUGCAGUGAGCACUACCCGGGUUUGAGGGAGAAGAUGACAAGGGUGAUAAAAUUAAUUAGCAAAGCAAUCCUCCGGCCGCACCGAGCGGCUCCGUGCGUCACCCAGCAGCGACGGCUUCAUCUCCCGGCGCAGAGGGACGCGCUGCUGCCGGAGGUUAUCACGGGGGAUGUGACAGGCACAAUUGUUUCCAUUUCACGAUUCUGCAUGACGGAGCCAGACAGGUUAUUGAAACAACAAUUUUCUGGCUAACACACGCCUGCCAGUCAAGUGAAUUAGGAAAUGCAGGCUCUGCUCACGUCCUGGGGUUAUAUUAAAUCCCAGCCCAGCUCCUGGGGCACAGAGGUCUGCGAUGUGACCCAUUGGCAGUGCGACGACCUCCGAGCGGUUGGCAAAGGGAACUGUCCCUGUGCAUACAGACAGAGCCACAGACACCCUUCAGACCGGGGGGGCUCCGUCCCCUCUGUGCACGGAGGGGCUGACAGAUAAAAGUGCCCCCGUUUGUUCGGAGCGAUGUCGUUAACCAUUAGCACAGCCGGCUGGCACAGCUCAUAAUUCAUCGCCACGGGGUCUGGUGUGGCCCUUCUGUUCCGGGGGAUGACGGGAAGGUGUUUGUUUCCAAUCACAAAAAGACUUAUUUUCUGGGACACAAACAAGGACCACAUGGCCAUCUGCACCCCGGGUCACCAAAGUGGUCCCACAGAGGACCUGCAGAGGCGAAGCAGGAGGGCUGCGUGAUUCCCAUCCAUUAAUCUCAGCCUGACGCAGCGGCCGCCCAUCGAUCUGCUCAUUCAUCAAUACCCCACUCACACCGGAGCCAUGUAAGCAGGCCAUUCAAAUUAACACAGACAGAUCUCUAAUAGUCACCGCUGCUCUCGGAAGGAACAACGCAGCUUUCUUUCCAAAUGCUGAGGCAGUAAAUUAAAAGGAUCAGUUUCUUGAUUGGACUUUUCCUGCAGCUGCGGGGGCAGCAGCCCAUGCAGGGAUAGGGGAACCACUGGGAGCAUCCUUCCCACGGCAAUGAGAUCCAAGCUCCCCUUGGGAGCAAUGGGAGCUAUCGGUGCACCACAGGGGAUGACCUGCAGCCGCAUUCUGAGCACUGCUGCUGGGAAUGAACCCCUCACCCUGCGCCCAAGAGGGGCAGAGACGAGGCUGCUCCUUUUGCUUCCCCACCAGCAGCAACGUGAGGCUGUGCUGCAGUGAAUGCUGCUCCAUUUGCUCCACUUUGAUUAUUCACCAUCCCUGUGCCAUCAGCUCUGCCCCACGGCCGUGCUGGAGAGACCCUCAGCCCCCACCCCCCAUUGCCACCCCACAGUAGCCCCGCAGCAGGGGGUGAUGCGCGGUGACGGAUAACCUCGGAGGUGCUGCGCCCGCUGCUUUUACAACGCUUAAUGAGGUAAACUAAUUGUAAAUUGCGGCAGAAUGGGAAACUUAAUGACACUUCAGCUCUUGAAAGGAGUUUAAACACCGAGGGAUUCACUAAUAUUUUUCGGCGCUGGGAAGUCGGGGGAGCUCAGAGCUUACACGGAUGGGCUUCCAUGGCCCCAAUGCUCCUCCCAUCCACCGUGGGCAGCUCAAUGAGGUCUCUGUGCCAGUGGGGACGGAGUGGCAGAGCUGCAUUUCUCAGCUGAGCUGAGCGUGUGGGGUUUUUCCAUCUGCCAUCCUCCUGGCCGAGAACUGGGGCUGAGUUUUCUGUGAGCUGAUGCAGAACCUCUCCUCGCCCUUUGAUAGACCUGGGAAGUUUUGCACAUUCAAAUAUUGACCUUUUGUAAAUCCUUUCGGGCUCCCCCGGGGCUGCGGGGAGCAGGAGCUGGCAGGACACGAGCGAGCUGAAUAUCAUUCACUUUAAGCAGCCCGGAGAUGUUCAGGGGCAUAAAACCUUUCAGAGCUCCACAUGGCAUUUUUCAACACGCUGCUUCCCUCCGGAAAGGUCAGGUGGGAGUUAAACCAGGGGCCCUUCUUCCCUCCAUCUUAAUCAGCCCAUGCACACUCUUAUCACAUCUCCCUCCUGUCUGCUGUCUGAUACAACUGAUAAUCGUUCAGAUGCUGACUCAGCUCCUCCCUCUGCCCUGUGCUGCACUGAGCAGUGCAUGCAGUGCCCGGCACACCAUCCCUGCAGCAGCAGCUCUGCUCAUUCUGCUCACUUCCUCUAUGGGCUCUGCAGCUGUCCUGUGCUGCGUGGGGUUAUCCCACACCCCCGUGGCUGCAGGUUGGACAGAGCUGGGCUGUGAGCUGCCGCGGGCUCUCAGGAUGGGGCACGGCAAUGGGAACUGAACACAGUCCACCUCUGCUCCCACUUCACACCGUGCCCAGGCCCAGGGCUUCAUUCCCAUUCUGCCCAUGAGUCAUUCCCAAAGCUGCCUCCUCGCCUCCCUCCUCCCUUCUGCUGAUUACUCAGACGGAUGUGCCAUCGUAUCACCAGUGACGAUGACGAACUGAUAUUUAGACAACUGCUUUCCAAGAGGGCCAUUCUGAGGUGUGAGCAGUGGGGUAGGAGGGGCAGGAAGGGCAAGAGGAGCAGGAGGACCCCUCUGCCGUUCAGCUCCCAGUGCCCCUCGCUCCUCUGCUGGGCAAUGUCAGU